UUAGGGACCUCAUAUGCAAUUUGUCCAAUUUUUGAGUUGAGCAAUACUACAUUUACAACCCCAUCACGAAUGUAUAUCCUUCACUCCACCCAUUAAUUAGAUGGGGUGUUAACUACCAGUCACAUAAUGUGACUAAUGUGAUUGGUGCACACACCCCACCCAUUGGAUGGGUGGGGUAUAAUUUGUACACCCUGAUGCGUGUACAAGAAGUUUUUUUCUUUU
rnacentral:lncRNA from 1 species